CAGUCGCCGCGGUAAUACGGAGGGGGCUAGCGUUGUUCGGAAUUACUGGGCGUAAAGCGCACGUAGGCGGCUUGGUAAGUUAGAGGUGAAAGCCCGGAGCUCAACUCCGGAAUUGCCUUUAAGACUGCCGAGCUAGUAGGUGAGAGAGGUAAGUGGAAUUCCGAGUGUAGAGGUGAAAUUCGUAGAUAUUCGGAAGAACACCAGUGGCGAAGGCGGCUUACUGGCUCAUUCUAGACGCUGAGGUGCGAAAGCGUGGGGAGCAAACAGGAUUAGAUACCCGGGUAGUCCCUGUCUCUUAUAA
rnacentral:rRNA from 1 species